CUAGUACUCCCUUCGUCCGAAAAUACUUGGCGGAAAAAUGGAUAAAAAUGGAUGUAUCUAGAACUAAAAUACGUCCCAAUACAUCCAUUUCUAGUAUUUCCGGAUGGAGGGAGUAGUUU
rfam:Hordeum vulgare subsp. vulgare, WGS project CAJW01000000 data, contig: morex_contig_1574261